rnacentral:rRNA from 1 species
CCUAACACAUGCAAGUCGAACGGGAAGCGGUGCAUAUUGCUUCGGUGAUAAUGUGCCGUGGAGAGUGGCGAACGGGUGCGUAACACGUAGGUAACCUGCCCUGAAAGGGGGGAUAACCACGGGAAACUGUGGCUAAUACCGUAUAAUCUCGCCGUGGCGGUGGUUACGGUGAGGAAAGCUGAGGCGAUUUGGGAGGGGCCUGCGGUCGAUUAGCUGGUUGGUGGGGUAAAGGCCCACCAAGGCGAUGAUCGAUAGCUGUUCUGAGAGGAAGACCAGCCACACGGGAACUGAGACACGGUUCCGACUCCUACGGGGGGCAGCAGUGAGGAAUAUUGCGCAAUGGGGGGAACCUUGACGCAGCAACGCCGCGUGGAGGACGAAGGUUUUCGGAUUGUAAACUCCUUAACUGGGGGAAGAGAGAGGACGGUACCCCAGGACGAAGACACGGCUAACUAGGUGCCAGCAGCCGCGGUAAUACCUAGAUGUCGAGCGUUAUCCGGAAUUACUGGGCGUAAAGGGUGCGCAGGCGGUGUUACAAGUCCGGCGUGAAAGCUUCUGGCUUAACUGGGAGA